UAUUGCUAGGGGAGCCAUUGGCUGAGAAGUUUUACUGACCCUCAAACCUGAUCUGGAUAAUGCCAGCGUAGGAAAGCAUACAUAUA
rnacentral:ncRNA from 1 species